rnacentral:rRNA from 1 species
UUGGCUCAGGACGAACGCUGGCGGCGUGCCUAAUACAUGCAAGUCGAGCGGACAGAUGGGAGCUUGCUCCCUGAUGUUAGCGGCGGACGGGUGAGUAACACGUGGGUAACCUGCCUGUAAGACUGGGAUAACUCCGGGAAACCGGGGCUAAUACCGGAUGCUUGUUUGAACCGCAUGGUUCAGACAUAAAAGGUGGCUUCGGCUACCACUUACAGAUGGACCCGCGGCGCAUUAGCUAGUUGGUGAGGUAACGGCUCACCAAGGCGACGAUGCGUAGCCGACCUGAGAGGGUGAUCGGCCACACUGGGACUGAGACACGGCCCAGACUCUACGGGAGGCAGCAGUAGGGAAUCUUCCGCAAUGGACGAAAGUCUGACGGAGCAACGCCGCGUGAGUGAUGAAGGUUUUCGGAUCGUAAAGCUCUGUUGUUAGGGAAGAACAAGUGCCGUUCAAAUAGGGCGGCACCUUGACGGUACCUAACCAGAAAGCCACGGCUAACUACGUGCCAGCAGCCGCGGUAAUACGUAGGUGGCAAGCGUUGUCCGGAAUUAUUGGGCGUAAAGGGCUCGCAGGCGGUUUCUUAAGUCUGAUGUGAAAGCCCCCGGCUCAACCGGGGAGGGUCAUUGGAAACUGGGGAACUUGAGUGCAGAAGAGGAGAGUGGAAUUCCACGUGUAGCGGUGAAAUGCGUAGAGAUGUGGAGGAACACCAGUGGCGAAGGCGACUCUCUGGUCUGUAACUGACGCUGAGGAGCGAAAGCGUGGGGAGCGAACAGGAUUAGAUACCCUGGUAGUCCACGCCGUAAACGAUGAGUGCUAAGUGUUAGGGGGUUUCCGCCCCUUAGUGCUGCAGCUAACGCAUUAAGCACUCCGCCUGGGGAGUACGGUCGCAAGACUGAAACUCAAAGGAAUUGACGGGGGCCCGCACAAGCGGUGGAGCAUGUGGUUUAAUUCGAAGCAACGCGAAGAACCUUACCAGGUCUUGACAUCCUCUGACAAUCCUAGAGAUAGGACGUCCCCUUCGGGGGCAGAGUGACAGGUGGUGCAUGGUUGUCGUCAGCUCGUGUCGUGAGAUGUUGGGUUAAGUCCCGCAACGAGCGCAACCCUUGAUCUUAGUUGCCAGCAUUCAGUUGGGCACUCUAAGGUGACUGCCGGUGACAAACCGGAGGAAGGUGGGGAUGACGUCAAAUCAUCAUGCCCCUUAUGACCUGGGCUACACACGUGCUACAAUGGGCAGAACAAAGGGCAGCGAAACCGCGAGGUUAAGCCAAUCCCACAAAUCUGUUCUCAGUUCGGAUCGCAGUCUGCAACUCGACUGCGUGAAGCUGGAAUCGCUAGUAAUCGCGGAUCAGCAUGCCGCGGUGAAUACGUUCCCGG